AAGUCGUAACAAGGUCUCCGUAGGUGAACCUGCGGAGGGAUCAUUACACAAAUUAAAAUAUGAAGGCUUCGGCUGGAUUAUUUUUAUCACCCUUGUCUUUUGCGCACUUGUUGUUUCCUGGGCGGGUUCGCCCGCCACCAGGACCACACCAUAAACCUUUUUUAUGCAGUUGCAAUCAGCGUCAGUAUAACAAAUGUAAAUCAUUUACAACUUUCAACAACGGAUCUCUUGGUUCUGGCAUCGAUGAAGAACGCAGCGAAAUGCGAUACGUAGUGUGAAUUGCAGAAUUCAGUGAAUCAUCGAAUCUUUGAACGCACAUUGCGCCCUUUGGUAUUCCAAAGGGCAUGCCUGUUCGAGCGUCAUUUGUACCCUCAAGCUUUGCUUGGUGUUGGGCGUCUUUUGUCUUUGGCCUCGCCCAAAGACUCGCCUUAAAACGAUUGGCAGCCGGCCUACUGGUUUCGCAGCGCAGCACAUUUUUGCGCUUGCAAUCAGCAAAAAGGACGGCAAUCCAUCAAGACUACAUUUUUACGUUGA
rnacentral:rRNA from 1 species